GGGUGACCGCUAGCGGCAGGCCUAACACAUGCAAGUCGAACGGUAACAGAAAAAGCUUGCUUUUUGCUGACGAGUGGCGAACGGGUGCGUAACGCGUAUGCAACCUACCUUUUUCUAAGGAAUAGCCCAGAGAAAUUUGGAUUAAUACCUUAUAAUAAUAUUCAUUCGCAUGUUUGAAUAUUUAAAGCUUUUGCGGAAAAAGAUGGGCAUGCGUGACAUUAGUUUGUUGGUGAGGUAACGGCUCACCAAGACUACGAUGUCUAGGGGUUCUGAGAGGAUGAUCCCCCACACUGGUACUGAGACACGGACCAGACUCCUACGGGAGGCAGCAGUGAGGAAUAUUGGUCAAUGGACGAAAGUCUGAACCAGCCAUGCCGCGUGAAGGAUGACGGCCCUACGGGUUGUAAACUUCUUUUGUGUAGGAAGAAACCCCCCUACGUGUAGGGGGCUGACGGUACUAUACGAAUAAGCACCGGCUAACUCCGUGCCAGCAGCCGCGGUAAUACGGAGGGUGCAAGCGUUAUCCGGAAUUAUUGGGUUUAAAGGGUGCGUAGGCGGAAAUUUAAGUCAGUGGUGAAAGCCUGCAGCUCAACUGUAGAAUUGCCAUUGAUACUGAAUUUCUUGAAUCUAAUUGAAGUGGGCGGAAAUAUGACAUGUAGCCGGUGAAAUGCUUAGAUAUGUCAUAGAACACCGAUAGCGAAGGCAGCUCACUAAGUU
rnacentral:rRNA from 1 species